UACGGAGGGUGCAAACGUUGCUCGGAAUCAUUGGGCGUAAAGCGCACGUAGGCGGUCUGGUAAGUCGGAUGUGAAAGCCCCGGGCUCAACCCGGGAAGUGCAUACGAAACUGGCGGACUUGAAUAUGGAAGAGGGUCGCGGAAUUCCCGGUGUAGAGGUGAAAUUCGUAGAUAUCGGGAGGAACACCAGUGGCGAAGGCGGCGACCUGGGCCGAUACUGACGCUGAGGAGCGAAAGCGUGGGGAGCGAACAGG
rnacentral:rRNA from 1 species